rnacentral:rRNA from 1 species
UACGUAGGGGGCAAGCGUUGUCCGGAUUUAUUGGGCGUAAAGAGCGUGUAGGCGGCCAUGUAGGUCCGUUGUGAAAACUCGAGGCUCAACCUCGAGACGCCGAUGGAAACCAUAUGGCUAGAGUCCGGAAGAGGAGAGUGGAAUUCCUGGUGUAGCGGUGAAAUGCGCAGAUAUCAGGAAGAACACCCGUGGCGAAGGCGGCUCUCUAGUACGGUACUGACGCUGAGACGCGAAAGCGUGGGGAGCGAACAGG